CAUACUCACACAGAGAUACACACACACACAAACUUAUCGGAGAGGACAUUUUUUAAGGUGGUCAGGGAAAGCCUAUAUGAGAACGUGGCUUUUGAGUGAGACUCAAAUACUGAGAAUAUGCCAGGUACAAAUGUUGAUGAAGAAAGUCCUUCCAGGCAGAGGGAUCAGGAAGCACAAAAGCCUGGAAGAAAUGUUGGGCCCUGGCAUUACAAGGGCUAGAAUUCUCUCCUCUUACCAGGCUAGAACCAUGGAUGUUGGCAGUUCUUAGCUUAUAUACAGCAACCUAACUGAGCAAGAAAUAAAGUUUCCUCUCAACUCAUUUUGAAAAGCACAGGUCUUUCACUUCAUUUGGAGUCAAGGUAAAAGGAGAAAUAACAAGAACACCAGCUACUUAUUCAUCAUGCUCAGAAUCACACAGUGACUUCUCCCAGAAACUGGUGAAUCCUGAUCAACAGAACAGAGUUUACCAAAAGACCAUGCUAAAGACUCAGUAAAUACUACCUGCUGGGAUGAUGCCUUCCAAAGUCUCUGCUUUAAAUGAUAAUAUGAAAAGCUUGCAGGUUUUUGAAGUAAGAGAGACAUAAAUGAAAUCAGAGAAUGUUUUUGGGAUUUGAGAUACAGCAUUCAUGCAUCAGUGCUUUUCAAACCUUAGCACGUAUACAAAUUUAAAUACAUAUGCAAAACAAGCAAGGAUCUCAAUAAAUGGAGGCAGUG